GACGAACGCUGGCGGCGUGCUUAACACAUGCAAGUCGAACGGUAAGGCCUUCGGGUACACGAGUGGCGAACGGGUGAGUAACACGUGGGUGAUCUGCCCCCUACUCUGGGAUAAGCCUGGGAAACUGGGUCUAAUACCGGAUAUGACCAACUUCUGCAUGGUUGUUGGUGGAAAGUUUUUUCGGUAGGGGAUGAGCCCGCGGCCUAUCAGCUUGUUGGUGGGGUAAUGGCCUACCAAGGCGACGACGGGUAGCCGGCCUGAGAGGGCGACCGGCCACACUGGGACUGAGACACGGCCCAGACUCCUACGGGAGGCAGCAGUGGGGAAUAUUGCACAAUGGGCGAAAGCCUGAUGCAGCGACGCCGCGUGGGGGAUGACGGCCUUCGGGUUGUGAACCCCUUUCAGUCGGGACGAAGCGAGAGUGACGGUACCGAUAGAAGAAGCACCGGCCAACUACGUGCCAGCCGCCGCAGUAACAC
rnacentral:rRNA from 1 species